ACCAGGUUUCCAGCCUGUCACAGCUCCCAGCUCUUCCUGCACAUUCAACAGGACGUUGGGGGGAUCUGUCCAUCUGCAACUGACUUCACGGCCCUUCUUGAGCCCUAACAUUUGGGAGAUUGAGUGGAUUUGGAAUUCUGAGUCUAAGAGAAAACAUUUUCUGGUGUCCUUGAAGCCUAAUAACUCUAAUCCUCAAUGGUACAACCUUGAAGAAAAAUACAAGCAUAGAUUCUACCUGACAGAGAUGUCUUCCUUGAACAUCCGGGAUCUCACUAUGGAAAUAGGUGGACUAUAUGUAGCGACAAUCAAAUUCUCCUCAGGAGAAUCCCAGCAAGAAUCUUUUAGAGUCUGUGUAUAUGGUAAGCUGUGGGACCAUGCCCCAGCCAGGCAUUUCAACAACCACUUUAUCUAAAAGCCCAUCCCCCAGCCCCAAAUUGUGAUUCAUUCAUCAUCCAACACAUCAGGCUGGUGCAAUGUCAGCCUGGAGUGUGGGACCCCAGGGGCUACAGAGAACCUGGCAAUAACCUGGCUGAGCAAGGGCUUCCCCAGGGAGCUGGAACAGAGAGAGACACUGGUGCCAGCCGCCAACUCCAGGAAUCUAAGCCUGAGCCUGCCCCUGAGCCGGUUGAAUGGGCACCUCACCUGUGUGUUCAGCAACCCUGCGGACCAGAAGAAUGCAACCUUAGACCUGGAGACCAUCUGUCCUUGGAGGGGUUCUCCUCAGAGCAAAUGGCUUUGGAUAGGCCCCAUCCUCGUCCUGGUUCUGAUGGUGAGCUUGGUGGCCGGAGUGUGGAUCUGGAAGAGGAAGAAUACGAAGGCUGAGAGAGGUGGGCCCGCUUUUCUGCCCGAGGAGCCAAGCUCGGCAGCUGCUCCCCAUGUCCUUUCCACGGAGAAAUUUGCUGACUCACAGACUGGAGAGGUCAACAGCCAUGAGCCUCCCUACGCAGAGAUCGGCCUCCUGAGACACCCUAAGAACAACAUGGAGGAGAGACGCUUCCACGCACAAAGCCCCAAGCUGACUCCAGAAACCCACACCAUCUAUGAGAAGAUCCGGCUGAGCCCAGAGGCCGUAGGGGAUACCUAGACCAUGAAGACACUGGAACAAUGAGGGGCCUUGGUAAGAUCUGCUACACCCCACCUUUCACCCAUGGGUCCCACUAUGCUUCUUUACGGUGGAGCUGGAACUAGACCCCAAGUCUCCCUGACCCCUCCCACUGAGACAACGGGCAGCAGGAGCUGCCCCCUGGUUUCCCCACGGGUGUGAACAGUGACUCUGCUAUUCAAACAUUGAAGCAUGAAAGGCAAACCCUUCAGCGGUCAGCCGGCCUCUGACCUCUGGCCUUUGACCGACUUAAUGCCCAUUAGUGCAUACUCUUGGUCGGGCAGGACCCGUGCUGGCAUGGUCAGGGUGCAGAGAUGCUUUCACAGAACAGGGGGGGUCCUGGGCCUGAGAAAGAUGAGCCUUGGGUGGAGGACCUUUAAGAUGUCGCCACUACCCAGGGACAGAGAGGUAGCCCUUGACUGUGGAAAAGCAGGAGGCCUGCAGGUACAAGAUUAGGGGCCCGCUGCAGUGUAGAAGUGAGUGAUGGGAAUGGGAGGGAAUAUUUCUUUAGCUCCACUAUCUACCAGGCUUAAUUCUAAGUGUACUAAAUAUGCUAUCUCAGGAUUUCUCAAAAUUCAAGUAACUCACAGACCCUUUCCCUUUUAUUACGUAACAGAAGUCAAAGGGCAUGUCAUUGAAAUUAUGAUAUUUCGCCAAUUUUGUUGCUGUAGUACAUGUGGUCUUGUUCCCUAUAUAUCCUCUUACUGGUUGGUUAAAGUAAUAUGCACAAAAUACCAUGUUUCCCUGAAAAUAAGACAGGGUCUUAUAUUUAUUUUUCCUCAAGAAGACACCCUAGG